rnacentral:rRNA from 1 species
AGAGGUGGCAAGCGUUUUUCGAAAUUACUGGGCGUAAAGGGCGCGUAGGCGGCUUGGUCAGUCCCGUGUGAAAUCCCUCGGCUCAACUGAGGAACUGCACGGGAAACUGCCUGGCUUGAGUUCGGGAGAGGGAAGCGGAAUUCCGGGUGUAGCGGUGAAAUGCGUAGAUAUCCGGAGGAACACCGGUGGCGAAGGCGGCUUCCUGGACCGACACUGACGCUGAGGCGCGAAAGCUAGGGGAGCAAACGGGAUUAGAUACCCCGGUAGUCCUAGCUGUAAACGAUGAGUGCUGGGUGUAGGGGGUAUCAACCCCCCCUGUGCCGAAGCUAACGCAUUAAGCACUCCGCCUGGGGAGUACGGUCGCAAGGCUG